UACGUAGGGUGCAAGCGUUGUCCGGAAUUAUUGGGCGUAAAGAGCUCGUAGGCGGUCUGUCGCGUCUGCUGUGAAAACUCAGGGCUUAACCCUGAGCUUGCAGUGGGUACGGGCAGACUAGAGUGCGGUAGGGGAGACUGGAAUUCCUGGUGUAGCGGUGAAAUGCGCAGAUAUCAGGAGGAACACCGGUGGCGAAGGCGGGUCUCUGGGCAGUAACUGACGCUGAGGAACGAAAGCGUGGGUAGCGAACAGG
rnacentral:rRNA from 1 species